GGAAGUAAAAGUCGUAACAAGGUCUCCGUUGGUGAACCAGCGGAGGGAUCAUUACAGAGUUGCAAAACUCCCUAAACCAUUGUGAACGUUACCCAAACCGUUGCUUCGGCGGGCGGCGCCCAGCGCCCCUCGGCCCCUCGCGGGCGCCCGCCGGAGGUACCCCCAAACCAUUGAUACUUUAUGGCCUCUCUGAGUCUUCUGUACUGAAUAAGUCAAAACUUUCAACAACGGAUCUCUUGGUUCUGGCAUCGAUGAAGAACGCAGCGAAAUGCGAUAAGUAAUGUGAAUUGCAGAAUUCAGUGAAUCAUCGAAUCUUUGAACGCACAUUGCGCCCGCCAGUAUUCUGGCGGGCAUGCCUGUUCGAGCGUCAUUUCAACCAUCAAGCCCCCGGCUUGUGUUGGGGACCUGCGGCUGCCGCAGGCCCUGAAAAGCAGUGGCGGGCUCGCUGUCACACCGAGCGUAGUAGAUUUUCAUCUCGCUCAGGGCGUGCUGCGGGUUCCGGCCGUUAAACCACCUUCAUAACCCAAGGUUGACCUCGGAUCAGGUAGGAAGACCCGCUGAACUUAAGCAUAUCAAUAAGCGGAGGA
rnacentral:rRNA from 2 species